rnacentral:rRNA from 1 species
CAUGCAAGUCGAACGAGGCCCUCUUCCUUCGGGAGGAGGUGUCCUAGUGGCGAACGGGUGAGUAACACGUUGGUGACCUACCCCGAAGAGGGGGACAACCCCGGGAAACUGGGGCUAAUACCCCAUGUGAUCCUAAGGAUUAGAUGCCUAAGGAUGAAAUGGAGCAAUUCGCUUCGGGAGGGGCCUGCGGCCUAUCAGCUAGUUGGUGAGGUAAUGGCUCACCAAGGCGACGACGGGUAGGGGACCUGAGAGGGUGACCCCCCACACUGGAACUGAAACACGGACCAGACACCUACGGGUGGCAGCAGUAGGGAAUAUUGCACAAUAGGCGAAAGCCUGAUGCAGCAACGCCGCGUGCGCGAUGAAGGCCUUAGGGUUGUAAAGCGCUUUUCUGGGGGAAGAGAAAGGACGGUACCCCAGGAAUAAGUCUCGGCUAACUACGUGCCAGCAGCCGCGGUAAAACGUAGGAGGCAAGCGUUAUCCGGAUUUACUGGGCGUAAAGCGCGUGCAGGCGGUUUGGUAAGUCGGACGUGAAAGCUCCCGGCUCAACUGGGAGAGGCCGUUCGAAACUACCAGGACUAGAGG